rnacentral:rRNA from 1 species
AGCAUGUGGUUUAAUCGAUGAUACGCGAGGAACCUUACCUGGGCUCAAAUGUAUGUUGACGUAUUCUGAAAGGGAUACUUCUUCGGACAAUAUACAAGGUGCUGCAUGGUUGUCGUCAGCUCGUGCCGUGAGGUGUCGGGUUAAGUCCCAUAACGAGCGCAACCCCUAUCAUUAGUUGCCAUCAGGUCAAGCUGGGGACUCUAAUGAAACUGCCUACGCAAGUAGUGAGGAAGGUGGGGAUGACGUCAAGUCAUCAUGGCCCUUAUGUCCAGGGCGACACACGUGCUACAAUGGCCGGCACAACGGGAAGCGAGUUCGCGAGGACAAGCGGAUCCCUUAAAGCCGGUCGCAGUUCGGAUUGAAGUCUGCAACUCGACUUCAUGAAGCUGGAAUCGCUAGUAAUCGUGGAUCAGCCAAGCCGCGGUGAAUACGUUCCCGGGCCUU